GAACCUGUACCAUUCAAAUCCUGCCAAUCAACCCAUGCCUGUUCUGGGUAUGGUUCUAAACCCGGUUCAUGAAAUCUCGAACUCGUUGCUCUAUCCCUCCUUCGUCUUCUCUACCCGCUGACCUGGAAAUAUAUCAAGAAAACCAAUAUUCUACUGUUAAUUGAUAUCAGUUUGUGUUAGUUUCUACAUAUACAGUAGUACACUUGAGAACACUGUACAAGUAACUGCCGAUCAGCUAUACAUCAGUGCUUGAUCAUAUAUAGAAAUGCGAAUGCUGAUUAAUCUGUGCAGGCUCGGUUGAUACUGCACAUUCUGUCAUGCAGUCUGUAAAGCAGGCAAUACAACCAGAAUUACACACGCUGCGAAGAAAGUGUUACCUCAAGACUGAGCGAAGGCAGUGAAUUUAUAGCUGAAGUCAAGAUGUUGAAGGAGUAACAUUGGCAGUCACGUGUCCGAAAUGUCAGGAUUCGACUAUAACGCCAGAUCUGGGGAAAAUUAUAAUUAUGUAAUAGUGGAUUCCAUCUCGAUAAUGUAAAAUAUCACGUGCCUGUGACAUGAGUAAAUAAUUAAAAAUAAAUAAGUAAUUACCAACAACGUUAAUGUUGCAAGAAUCUUGUUCAACUACCCUUCGCC
rnacentral:lncRNA from 1 species